rnacentral:rRNA from 1 species
GUCCUAGCCUUAAACGAUGAACACUUGGCGUGGCGGGUACAAAUCCUGCCGUGCCGGAGCUAACGCGUUAAGUGUUCCGCCUGGGGGAGUACGGUCGCAAGUCUGAAACUCAAAGGAAUUGACGGGGGCCCGCACAAGCGGUGGAGCAUGUGGUUUAAUUCGACGCAACGCGAAGAACCUUACCUGGGCUCGAAGCGCAGUGGAAGUCGGUUGAAAGGCCGGUGUCCGCAAGGACCGCUGCGGAGGUGCUGCAUGGCUGUCGU